ACUACGGGUGGCAGCAGUGGGGAAUAUUGCACAAUGGGGGAAACCCUGAUGCAGCGACGCCGCGUGAAGGAAGAAGUAUUUCGGUAUGUAAACUUCUAUCAGCAGGGAAGAAAAUGACGGUACCUGACUACGAAGCCCCGGCUAACUACGUGCCAGCAGCCGCGGUAAUACGUAGGGGGCAAGCGUUAUCCGGAUUUACUGGGUGUAACGGGAGCUUAGGCGGUUUAGCAAGUCAGAAGUGAAAGCCCGGGGCUCAACUCCGGGACUGCUUUUGAAACUGUUGAACUAGAUUGCAGGAGAGGUAAGUGGAAUGCCUAGUGUAGCGGUGAAAUGCGUAGAUAUUAGGAGGAACACCAGUGGCGAAGGCGGCUUACUGGACUGUAAAUGACGCUGAGGCUCGAAAGCGUGGGGAGCAAACAGGAUUAGAUACCCGUGUAGUC
rnacentral:rRNA from 1 species